rnacentral:lncRNA from 1 species
GGAAAGGCCACCUCACAUCCCCGCGCCUACAUGCUCGCACCUGCGUGCCUAUAAUGCACACAGGGCUAUUACAUCACAGAAGAGACCGUCCGUGUAUGCCUACGUACCUGCGCAGCCCAUUGACGGACCUAUUGUCUCGUCCGUCCCUUCAGUUACUGUCAGGCAUGCAUGGCUACCACAUGACAUGCAUGCACACCAUGUGGGGGUGGCCACUCAGCCACUUGGCCGAUCAACGGCCAUCGUUGAGUGCAUGUGAUCCGACAGAUCAUGUGUUAGGGAAGGCUAUUUAAAGCCCCUUCACCUCCUUCCUCGUCACAAAAAUUUCUUCUUCAAUUCCUAGGUGAAAUUUAGAGAGGAUUGAGGGAGGUUGAAAGCUUGAUUUUUUUUAGUACGAUUUACGAAUUGCAAAGAAAUUUUCUAU